UACCUGCAGCUCGAGUGGUAACCGCUAUUAUUGGGCCUAAAGCGUCCGUAGCCGGUUUGGUAAAUAUCUGGGUAAAUCGUGAGGCUUAACUUCACGAAUUUCGGAUAGACUGCCAGACUUGGGAUCGGGGGAGGUCAGAGGUACUCCAGGGGUAGCGGUGAAAUGUUGUAAUCCUUGGAGGACCACCGGUAGCGAAGGCGUCUGACUAGAACGAGUCCGACGGUGAGGGACGAAGCCCUGGGGCGCAAACCGGAUUAGAUACCCGGGUAGUCCAGGGUGUAAACAAUGUGGGCUUUGUAUUGGAGGUCCCACGUGGGCGUCCAGUGCAGAAGAGAAGUUGUUAAGCCCACCGCCUGGGAAGUACGGUCGCAAGGCUGAAACUUAAAGGAAUUGGCUGGGGAGCACAGCAACGGGAGGAGCGUGCGGUUU
rnacentral:rRNA from 1 species